CAGGAUGAACGCUAGCGACAGGCCUAACACAUGCAAGUCGAGGGGCAGCACAAGGAGCAAUCUGAGGUGGCGACCGGCGCACGGGUGAGUAACACGUAUGCAACCUGCCUGUAAGCGGGGAAUAACCCGUUGAAACCGAGGACUAAUACCGCAUAAUACUAAAUUACUGCAUGGUAAUUUAUUUAAACAUUUAUGGCUUACAGAUGGGCAUGCGCAUGAUUAGCUAGUUGGAGAGGUAACGGCUCCCCAAGACAACGAUCAUUAGGGGUUCUGAGAGGAAGGUCCCCCCACACUGGUACUGAGACACGGACCAGACUCCUACGGGAGGCAGCAGUGAGGAAUAUUGGUCAAUGGACGAGAGUCUGAACCAGCCAAGUCGCGUGCAGGAAGAAUGUCCUAUGGAUUGUAAACUGCUUUUGCAGGGGAAUAAAGUGCAUCACGUGUGAUGUUUUGUAUGUACUCUGCGAAUAAGGAUCGGCUAACUCCGUGCCAGCCGCCGC
rnacentral:rRNA from 1 species